CUCCUCCCAUGGAUUUAGUUGGUCAGCCGGUCCACGCCGAACCUCAACGCUCCAUUGGUGUCCUCUCUUGCUGAUUGGUGGAGGCCGAAGAUGCACAAAUUCCAUCUUUGGACUGGGAAGAUGACUGUGACGCUUGAGGAUGUCUCCUUGAUCAUCGUUCUUCCUAUCAAAGGGAGGCCUCUCUGUAUGAGCACUGAUUCUGAUGGGUGGCGCCAGCAGAUGAUGGCUCUUAUCGGUAUGGCUCCUACCGAGGCUGAGGCUGAUGUAGAGGAAUGCUUCAUGGAUGUGGCUGAAGGUGUUGACCGUCUUCGAUAG
rnacentral:rRNA from 1 species